GUCGAGAAUCUUUCACAAUGGGCGAAAGCCUGAUGGAGCGACGCCGCGUGGGGGAUGAAUGGCUUCGGCCCGUAAACCCCUGUCAUUCGCGAGCAAUGCUGCCGGUUGAACAGAUCGGCAGUUGAUAGUAGCGGAAGAGGAAGGGACGGCUAACUCUGUGCCAGCAGCCGCGGUAAUACAGAGGUCCCAAGCGUUGUUCGGAUUCACUGGGCGUAAAGGGUGCGUAGGCGGCUGGGUAAGUUCGAUGUGAAAGCUCCGGGCUCAACCCGGAAAUGGCAUUGAAUACUAUCCGGCUCGAGGGUUGGAAGGGGGACUGGAAUUCUCGGUGUAGCAGUGAAAUGCGUAGAUAUCGAGAGGAACACCGGUGGCGAAGGCGAGUCCCUGGACAACACCUGACGCUGAGGCACGAAAGCUAGGGGAGCAAACAGGAUUAGAUACCCUAGUAGUCC
rnacentral:rRNA from 1 species